AUGGGAUUUUUGCUUCUGUUCAUUUUCGCUGUAGCAGCUUUGGAAGGUGUCUGGUCCCAGGUGCAGCUGGUGGAGUCCGGAGGGGAUGUGAAAAAGCCCGGAGACUCUCUCCGCCUCUCCUGCAAAGCCUCCGGGUUCACCUUCAGCAGCUGGGAUAUGAACUGGGUCCGGCAGGCUCCCGGCAAGGGGCUAGAAUGGGUCGCUUAUAUAAACACGGGUGGGAGUACUAUAUACUACCUUGAUUCCGUCAAAGGCCGAUUCACCAUCUCCCGGGACAAUCCCAAGAGUGAGCUGUAUCUGCAAAUGACCGGCCUGAAGCCCGAGGACACCGCCCGCUAUUACUGUGCGAACGUUGGCUCCCCCGGGGCCCGUCUCGGUGUCAGACUCACAGGACAGCGUAUGUCAGUGUAA